rnacentral:rRNA from 1 species
CGUGUAGGCGGGAAGACAAGUCUGAUGUGAAAGCCCCGGGCUUAACCUGGGAAGUGCAUUGGAAACUGUUUUCUUGAGUGCUGGAGAGGAAGGGGGAAUUCCCGGUGUAGAGGUGAAAUUCGUAGAGAUCGGGAGGAAUACCAGUGGCGAAGGCGCCCUUCUGGACGGCAACUGACGCUGAGACGCGAAAGCGUGGGGAGCAAACAG